rnacentral:rRNA from 1 species
UGAACGCUGGCGGCGUGCCUAAUACAUGCAAAUCGAGCGAACAGACGAGGAGCUUGCUCCUCUGACGUUAGCGGCGGACGGGUGAGUAACACGUGGAUAACCUACCUAUAAGACUGGGAUAACUUCGGGAAACCGGAGCUAAUACCGGAUAAUAUAUUGAACCGCAUGGUUCAAUAGUGAAAGACGGUUUUGCUGUCACUUAUAGAUGGAUCCGCGCUGCAUUAGCUAGUUGGUAAGGUAACGGCUUACCAAGGCAACGAUGCGUAGCCGACCUGAGAGGGUGAUCGGCCACACUGGAACUGAGACACGGUCCAGGCUCCUACGGGAGGCAGCAGUAGGGAAUCUUCCGCAAUGGGCGAAAGCCUGACGGAGCAACGCCGCGUGAGUGAUGAAGGUCUUCGGAUCGUAAAACUCUGUUAUUAGGGAAGAACAAAUUUGUAAGUAACUAUGCACGUCUUGACGGUACCUAAUCAGAAAGCCACGGCUAACUACGUG